rnacentral:rRNA from 1 species
GACAGAGGUGCCGAGCGUUAGGCGGAAUCACUGGGCUUAAAGCGUGUGUAGGCGGACCGUUAAGUACCUUGUGAAAUCCUGCGGCUCAACCGCAGAACGGCUGGGUAUACUGGCGGUCUUGGGCCACCUAGGGGCAGAUGGAACAAGUGGUGGAGCGGUGAAAUGCGUAGAUAUCACUUGGAACGCCAAAGGUGAAAACAGUCUGCUGGGGUGUGCCGACGCUGAGACACGAAAGCCAGGGGAGCGAACGGG